rnacentral:rRNA from 1 species
AGUGAACGCUGGCGGUAGGCCUAACACAUGCAAGUCGAACGGCAGCACAGUAAGAGCUUGCUCUUACGGGUGGCGAGUGGCGGACGUGUGAGGAAUACAUCGUAAUCUACUUUUUCGUGGGGGAUAACGUAGGGAAACUUACUCUAAUACCGCAUACGAUCUACGGUUGAAAGCAUUGGAUCUUCGCACCUUGCGCGAUUGAAUGAGCCGAUGUCGGAUUAGCUAGUUGGCGGGGUAAAGGCCCACCCAGGCGACGAUCCGUAGCUGGUCUGAGAGGAUGAUCAGCCACACUGGAAGUGAGACACGGUCAAGACUCCUACGGGAGGCAGCAGUGGGGAAUAUUGGACAGUGGGCGCAAGCCUGAUCCAGCCAUACCGCGUGGGUGAAGAAGGCCUUCGGGUUGUAAAGCCCUUUUGUUGGGAAAGAAAAGCAGCAGGUUAAUACCCCGCUGUUCUGACGGUACCCAAAGAAUAAGCACCGGCUAACUUCGUG